rnacentral:rRNA from 1 species
UACGGGGGGAGCAAGCGUUGUUCGGAUUUACUGGGCGUAAAGGGUCGCGUAGGCGGCGCGGUAAGUCGGGUGUGAAAUCUCGGAGCUUAACUCCGAAACUGCAUUCGAUACUGCUGUGCUUGAGGACUGGAGAGGAGACUGGAAUUUACGGUGUAGCAGUGAAAUGCGUAGAGAUCGUAAGGAAGACCAGUGGCGAAGGCGGGUUGCUGGGCUGAUACUGACGCUGAUGCGCGAAAGCCAGGGGAGCGAACGGG